rnacentral:rRNA from 1 species
GCUUAGCCAUAAACAUAGACAGUAAAAACACAAUACUGUCCGCCAGAGAACUACAAGCAAAAACUCGAAACUCCAAGGACUUGGCGGUGCCCCACACCAACCUAGAGGAGCCUGUCCUAUAAUCGAUACCCCACGAUAUACCCAACCACUUUUUGAAACUCAGCCUAUAUACCGCCGCCGUCAGCCUACCUUAUGAAAGAAAAAAAGUAAGCAAAAUAGCCACUAGCUAAAACGUCAGGUCAAGGUGUAGCACAUAAAGUGGAAGAGAUGGGCUACACUCUCUUAAUAAGAGGAUACGAAAAGCACAAUGAAAUCAGUGCUAGAAGGUGGAUUUAGUAGUAAGAUAGGCAAGACAACCUAUCUUAAACCAGCCCUGGGGCGCGCACAC